AGUGAACGCUGGCGGUAGGCCUAACACAUGCAAGUCGAACGGCAGCACAGUAAGAGCUUGCUCUUACGGGUGGCGAGUGGCGGACUGGUGAGGAAUACAUCGGAAUCUACUUUUUCGUGGGGGAUAACGUAGGGAAACUUACGCUAAUACCGCAUACGACCUACGGGUGAAAGCAGGGGAUCUUCGGACCUUGCGCGAUUGAAUGAGCCGAUGUCGGAUUAGCUAGUUGGCGGGGUAAAGGCCCACCAAGGCGACGAUCCGUAGCUGGUCUGAGAGGAUGAUCAGCCACACUGGAACUGAGACACGGUCCAGACCCCUACGGGAGGCAGCAGUGGGGAAUAUUGGACAAUGGGCGCAAGCCUGAUCCAGCCAUACCGCGUGGGUGAAGAAGGCCUUCGGGUUGUAAAGCCCUUUUGUUGGGAAAGAAAAGCAGCAGGUUAAUACCCCGCUGUUCUGACGGUACCCAAAGAAUAAGCACCGGCUAACUUCGUG
rnacentral:rRNA from 1 species